rnacentral:rRNA from 1 species
GGGUUGUGAGGUUAAGCGACUAAGCGUACACGGUGGAUGCCCUGGCAGUCAGAGGCGAUGAAGGGCGUGCUAAUCUGCGAUAAGCGCCGGUAAGGUGAUAUGAACCGUUAUAACCGGCGAUACCCGAAUGGGGAAACCCAGUGUGAUUCGUCACACUAUCAUUAACUGAAUCCAUAGGUUAAUGAGGCGAACCGGGGGAACUGAAACAUCUAAGUACCCCGAGGAAAAGAAAUCAACCGAGAUUCCCCCAGUAGCGGCGAGCGAACGGGGAGGAGCCCAGAGCCUGAAUCAGCAUGUGUGUUAGUGGAAGCGUCUGGAAAGGCGCGCGAUACAGGGUGACAGCCCCGUACACAAAAGCGCAUGUGCUGUGAGCUCGAUGAGUAGGGCGGGACACGUGGUAUCCUGUCUGAAUAUGGGGGGACCAUCCUCCAAGGCUAAAUACUCCUGACUGACCGAUAGUGAACCAGUACCGUGAGGGAAAGGCGAAAAGAACCCCGGCGAGGGGAGUGAAAAAGAACCUGAAACCGUGUACGUACAAGCAGUGGGAGCACCCUUCGGGGUGUGACUGCGUACCUUUUGUAUAAUGGGUCAGCGACUUAUAUUCUGUAGCAAGGUUAACCGUAUAGGGGAGCCGGAGGGAAACCGAGUCUUAAUUGGGCGUUAAGUUGCAGGGUAUAGACCCGAAACCCGGUGAUCUAGCCAUGGGCAGGUUGAAGGUUGGGUAACACUAACUGGAGGACCGAACCGACUAAUGUUGAAAAAUUAGCGGAUGACCUGUGGCUGGGGGUGAAAGGCCAAUCAAACCGGGAGAUAGCUGGUUCUCCCCGAAAGCUAUUUAGGUAGCGCCUCGUGAAUUCAUCUCCGGGGGUAGAGCACUGUUUCGGCUAGGGGGCCAUCCCGGCUUACCAACCCGAUGCAAACUGCGAAUACCGGAGAAUGUUAUCACGGGAGACACACGGCGGGUGCUAACGUCCGUCGUGAAGAGGGAAACAACCCAGACCGCCAGCUAAGGUCCCAAAGUCAUGGUUAAGUGGGAAACGAUGUGGGAAGGCCCAGACAGCCAGGAUGUUGGCUUAGAAGCAGCCAUCAUUUAAAGAAAGCGUAAUAGCUCACUGGUCGAGUCGGCCUGCGCG